GAUGAAGAACGUAGCGAAAUGCGAUAAGUAAUGUGAAUUGCAGAAUUCCGUGAAUCAUCGAAUCUUUGAACGCACAUUGCGCCCCCUGGUAUUCCGGGGGGCAUGCCUGUCCGAGCGUCAUUGCAACCUUCAAGCGCGGCUUGUGUGUUGGGUCUCGUCCCCCGUGGACGGGCCCGAAAGGCAGUGGCGGCGUCCCGACAUGGUGCCCGAGCGUAAGGGAAUCCUCUUCCGCUCGAAUCGGCCCAUGCGGCGCUGGUCGUAACCAAAUUUUUUACCGGUUGACCUCGGAUCAGGUAGGGAUACCCGCUGAACUUAAGCAUAUCAAUAAGCGGAGGA
rnacentral:misc_RNA from 1 species